rnacentral:lncRNA from 1 species
GCGGGCUCAGGCGCGCGCGGGGGAAUGGGCUGGUUCGGCCCAAUUCGGCCGGGCCGGUCCGUUUCUUCCCUUUUUUUUCUUUUAGCCUUUUCUAUUUUUCUUUUUCUGAUUUCUUUGAUAUCUUUUGAUUUUGAACUCCAAACUGGUCCAAAUAAAUUUCAGAAAAUUUGUAAAAUCAUGUUUUAUCAUGAUUCAACUUUUGGGAGUAAUUUCCCCUCAAAAUAAAUUAUAUAAAAAUAUACUUGCCCUAUAAAUGCCUUUAGGGCUAUAUAACUAUUUAAAUAAAAUAGUUUUUUAACUCCAAAUAAAUAUCCAAAAAUUAUGGGAUAGCUUAUUUAUGCAAUAAACCCCUUUUGUAGUUAAACCCUAGUGGUUUAA